CGAGGGAAGAGAGAGAGAGAGAGAGAGGUUCUCCUCCUUGCUCGUUUUCCUCUUUAUUUGUUGGUCCGUCUAGAAUUUUUGAUCGAAUGCCGGAGAGGUUCUUGUUUUAGGGUUUAUCUUUCUGAUGUUUUGUUUUCGAUGAAUUCCCAAUUCUUGAUUCUGAGUUCUUUUCUUUCUAGGGGUUUUGAUUUUCAAUGAACUUUUAAUUCUUUUUUCUGAGUUCUUGAUGAAAACUAUAGUCUUUUUUGACGUUCCCAUGAUAGCACAUGUUAAUCCGUAAUCAGACCUACCAGUACUGCCAAUAAAAUCAUCAUUCUUUGAUUGUAUUGGCAAUAAUACCUUGCCUUUUCAAUGCUCUGACCUUUCAGUAAUAUCUUUGAUCCUAGAGAAAGCAACAAACAAUAACUGUCAGUGUCUAUACUAUCUACCUUUUUGAAUGGGCAACUCAAUUUUAGUAUAACUUUUAUUUUGGUUAUAGAAAAUUCUUUAUUUUAUUUGGUAUAGAUUUUUUAUCUAGAUAGCUCUUGUUUAAAUUUUCUGGAAAUCUUGUUCUGUCCUGCUUAAAAUCUGUAUUUGAUCAUUUUCACUGAGGUUCUGUACAUGUUGAAGUAAAGGUAUUUCUUAUAUGCAAAUCCAUUUUAAUCAUUUCGUUAACUUUCUGCAGAUGCUUGUAAUUUGCUUAGCAUGGUUUUAGUCAUUGACUUAAAAUGCCACCUUCAUGGACUAUGUACUUUCUGCAUUCAAAAUUUAAUUGUGAUAUAAAAUUACUUCUGUGUGUUUUGGUACAUAGAAAUUCAGUUGUUGAUAUCCGAAGCCAAAUGAUACGCCAGUUGAUUAUGAAGUAAGCCUUCCCUGCAUGUCCAUGGGACAUGAGUUCUUGUGAAAUUUGCAGCUGACACUUGGAAACUUGCAGAGUUUAAAAUAGCAAUAACUUCUAUGUUCUUGAUAUCUUAAAAUUUUCAUUUUUAAACUCAACAUCCUCAUUUUCUGUCAGCUCUUAAAGAACAGUCAUGAAGAUGAGUUAUAUGCCUAAAUAUGUGGAUCUUGUUGAGAAUUAUUAGUUUUAUGACUCUUGCCUAUAAAAUGAUGCAGAGAUUUGAAAAUUCUUAUGAUUGUAACACUAUAUUGUUGGUUAUAUUUACCUAUCUGUUGAUCUUCAAGUUGCCCCAGUGUGGUGGGAGACACUUCUAGGUUUUCUUAGUCAUUUGUGUUCGGCCAUAAUUAUGUGGAUUUGUUGAGUUGUACUCAUGUCGGUUUAGUAUGAGUUCUCUUAUUGUAGCAGUAAUUCAUAAUUGUUUUUCUGUAUAGCAUACAUCUGUCCUAAUCCCAAUUCUUGCAGUUCCCAUCGUAUCCAUGCUUCUCAACUUCCACCUGAAUUUCUUCAUACCUCAGUUGAUAGGCAUCUGGUCAUGGGAAUUUAUUCUAAGGGUGUUGACCUUUGUUGAAGUAGAACUCUUUGCAUAAUGCGGGUUUUGUAUUUUCGUGCGGUACUUGUCCUCGAUAUUAUAUUACCAUAUUGUGUGUUCUCAAUAUCAUUGAGCGGCAGUAGUCCUCGAUACAUAGAAACAGUUGAUCUUCCAUGAUGUUUCUUUUUUA